rnacentral:rRNA from 1 species
AUUGAACGCUGGCGGCAUGCUUUACACAUGCAAGUCGAACGGCAGCGCGGGCUUCGGCCUGGCGGCGAGUGGCGAACGGGUGAGUAAUACAUCGGAACGUGCCCAGUAGUGGGGGAUAGCUCGGCGAAAGCCGGAUUAAUACCGCAUACGACCUGAGGGUGAAAGCGGGGGAUCUUCGGACCUCGCGCUAUUGGAGCGGCCGAUGGCAGAUUAGCUAGUUGGUGGGGUAAAGGCCUACCAAGGCGACGAUCUGUAGCUGGUCUGAGAGGACGACCAGCCACACUGGGACUGAGACACGGCCCAGACUCCUACGGGAGGCAGCAGUGGGGAAUUUUGGACAAUGGGCGAAAGCCUGAUCCAGCAAUGCCGCGUGUGUGAUGAAGGCCUUCGGGUCGUAAAGCACUUUUGGCGGGAACGAAAAGGACUGUGCCAAUACCACGGUUCGAUGACGGUACCCGCAGAAUAAGCACCGGCUAGCUACGUG